rnacentral:tRNA from 1 species
AUUUGGAUAGCUUAAAUUUUUAGAGCAUUAUAUUGAAGAUAUAAGGGUAAUUUUUUUUAUUUUCAAAUA